CCACAAUGGAACUGAGACACGGUCCAUACUCCUACGGGAGGCAGCAGUGAGGAAUAUUGCGCAAUGGGGGAAACCCUGACGCAGCAACGCCGCGUGAACGAUGAAGGCCUUCGGGUCGUAAAGUUCUUUUCUAAAGGGAAGAUAGUGACGGUACCUUAGGAAUAAAGUCCCGGCUAACUACGUGCCAGCAGCCGCGGUAAAACGUAAGGGGGCGAGCGUUAUCCGGAUUUAUUGGGCGUCAAGCGCACGUAGGUGGCGCUGUAAGUUAGACGUGAAAGCUCUCGGCUCAACUGAGAGAGGUCGUUUAAAACUGCAGUGCUUGAGGUUAGAAGAGGAGAGCAGAAUUCCCGGUGUAGUGGUGGAAUGCGUAGAUAUCGGGAGGAAUACCAGUGGCGAAGGCGGCUCUCUAGUCUACACCUGACACUGAGGUGCGAAAGCGUGGGUAGCGAACGGGAUUAGAUACCCCGGUAGUCCACGCUGUAAACGAUGGAUACUAGGUGUAGGGGGUCAUUUAACCCCUCUGUGCCGAAGCAAACGCGUUAAGUAUCCCGCCUGGGGACUACGGCCGCAAGGUUAAAACUCAAAGGAAUUGACGGGGGCCCGCACAAGCAGCGGAGCGUGUGGUUUAAUUCGAUGAUACGCGAAGAACCUUACCUGGGCUGAACUACGUGGUAGUAGUGAAGCGAAAGCGGAUCGACCCUUCGGGGAGCCUCGAUAGGUGCUGCAUGGCUGUCGUCAGCUCGUGUCGUGAGAUGUUGGGUUAAGUCCCGCAACGAGCGCAACCCUCGUCGCUAGUUACAAGUGUCUAGCGAGACUGCCGGUAUCAAACCGGAGGAAGGUGGGGAUGACGUCAAGUCAGCAUGGUCUUUAUGUCCAGGGCUACACACACGCUACAAUGGUCGGUACAAUAGGUUGCCACACCGCGAGGUGGAGCUAAUCCUCAAAGCCGAUCUCAGUUCGGAUUGUAGUCUGCAACUCGACUACAUGAAGGCGGAGUUGCUAGUAACCGCGCGUCAGCAUAGUGCGGUGAUGCGUUCCCGGGCCUUGUACACACCGCCCGUCACAUCAUGGGAGUCGGUAACACCUGAAGUCGGUGACCUAACCGAAAGGGGGGAGCUGCCUAAGGUGGGAUC
rnacentral:rRNA from 1 species